AAGAAAAAUAAUAGUGCCCAAUACAUGCAACUUCAACAAAUACAAGUACAUAAGAAGAUCUCCAUAAUUUAGAAAAUCCUAGUUAACAUUAGCCAAAAUAGAUCUCCAUAAUUUACAAAAUGGCUAGUUAACAUAAGCCAAAAUACUAGUGCAAAGCUAAGUUAUAAGCCAUAACAUAAGAUUGUAUGAUUAAUAAAAUACAUCCAUGUUAACAUUAAUAAAAUACAUCCAUGUUAACAUUAGCCAAAAUCCUCAUCCGCUUGCGUUGUCGCUUAAAAGCCUUUGGACGAACACUUUCUUGAGUUCCGGUUUGAUUGCCCUGAACACUCCCACAUUUUUUGGUUUAUCCAAAAUAAGAGACAAUGCAUCAAUUUGAUCCAUAGGAGAGAGACCCAUUGCUUCAAGUUCAUUAGCUAUGUCAGUAUGAUCUGCAGUACCUUGAACUAAAGCUUCAGUUACCAUUUGCAUCCUCUUCCCACUUUCAACAUAAAAAUCUUUCAGUCCACUGAUAAUUGCCUCGGUUCCAUCACUUGAACUUCCCACAGCUCUUUUCCUCUUUCUUUGGCUAUUUUCAGAUGGGGUGCUUUGUUGGCUUUUGUUGGUUCAUUGAAGAAACAAAAUUUUCACCUCCAAUAUCACUUUCACCAACAUGAUCAUAACUUUGUUCCUCCACCAUUUGAGCAGGGGUUUCGGCUACAUUACCCGUAGCCCGAUCUUUUCCAAAUAUAUAUGCAAAUCUAUCAAACAGUGGAAAAGGUUUGCUUCUCCAUCCAUCGGCUUCUUUAUUUCUCUAAGAUUAUAUCAACAUAGCAAAACUAAAAUUUAGCAUGCGUAACAAAUAUAGCAGCAAUAAUAUAACUAAUGUAUAAAUAAAAUAGGAUAUGAACCUGCACAUAAGUUUGCCAUGAGUCAUCACUGUCAACUUCAACGCACUUUUUGACAUCAUUCCAUGCAAAUCCACUUGUGUUUAUCAUGUCAACGACCAUACUAUAUGUUUUUUUUUCCAUUUCUUCAACUUGGACUCAAUAUGUAGAUUUGCCUUUAUAUUUGAAUGAGGACAUAAAACAUUGACAGCUUUUGCUAUUUCAACCAAAGUACCUUGUUUGAAAGCACCGGUGUCACACCGUUGCUUCCGAGCAACAAAAUCCUCAAGAACUCCUAGUAAUACUUCUUCCUCAAAUGCUUCCCAUUUACGCCUUCUUCCUUUUGGCUCUUGAGUAGCAUUCAAAAUAUUUUCGUUAUCCAUACCUAAACAAAAAAUAUUUUAAUGAAGGAAAAUACCAUACAAAUAAUCAAUCUGCAUAAUAUCCAAUCAACUUACAUAAUAUCCAAUCAACUUGCAUAAUAUCCAAUUAAUUUGCAUACCAUCCAAUCAUUGUGCUAAUAUCUAACAAAUGCAUGAUAAAAAGGAAUACUAAAAUAAAAUGUUAUCAUUAACACAUAUAGCUAGUUCGGUUGCUGGUUCCUAAUUGCUCUCCACUCGUUAUACAUUUCCUGAGCCAUAUCAUUCCUCUUUGCAGUCCACUGGUCAGAUGUUUGAACACUACCAACAUAUUCACCUUCUUCUGUAUUUUGUCCAUCUUCUAUUAUUGGCAAAUUCUCCAUUGGAUCUACAGACAUCUCUUGCCUAAUAAGAUUGUGUAGUAGGCAACAAGCGGUAAUUAUUCGACCUUGUGUCCUUAUCGGAUAGAAAGAUGGACUCCUUAGUAUCGACCACCUUCCUUUUAGCAAGCCAAAACAGCGUUCAAUUACAUUCCUUGCCUUAGAAUGAUUCAUGUUAAAAUAUUCUUCCUUAUUAGAAGGUGUUCGUCCCUCCCAUUCAGAUAAAUGAUAAGGUAUUCCUCUAUAGGGUGCAAGGAAUCCUUCACCAUUUGUAUAACCACCAUCUACAAGGUAAUAAUAACCUAAUGAAAAAAAAAACAGACCUUAUUAGUGUUUUGUAGUUGACAAACAGAACUAGACCUAACUUACAAAGUUGAGACUAAGUAAUAGUCUUACCCGCUGGUACCUUAAAACCAUUAGGCAUAGUAAUUGCAUCAUGUAGCACUCUAGAGUCUGAUGCGGAACCCUCCCACCCCAGAAACACAUAUAUGAACUGCAUAUCUCCUGAACACACACCUAACACAUUAGUUGCGACUCGACCCUUUCUUGUUCGGUAUCUUGGUUUGUCAAUUUCAGGUACAUGCACAUCAAUGUGUGUUCCAUCCAAUGCUCCCAAACAAUUCUUAAAAAAAAAAAAAAAAAAAAAAAGUUUUUGUUAAUUUAUACAAAGGGAAUGAAGAGUUAAAGCUUAGGGAAAAUGAAAAAAAAUUCUCAUCAUACCUUAAAACAUCGCCACCUAGGAUCUGUAGAAUCAAUAGGCACAGGCUGUGGGACUUUCAGUAGGAUACCUUGUAAUCGCAAAAUUCCUUGCAAUACGCUAUUAAAAUACCUACUUAUAGUCUCUCCCGACCUAUAAAAUCUACCGCCAACACUACGAUUCUUAGUAUGAUGUGCUAAUAUUUGUAAAGUCAUACACACCUGCUCCUCUACAGACACCAAACCAUCAGUUUUUACCCUCACAUCUUGACGAAGUAAGUCACAUAAUAUGUCAAAAGUCCUUCUAUCCAUUCUCAAUUCGUUGACACAUUCAGUAUCAGUAUUCCCUAUUAUACCAUUCAGAUAACACAAACUAAUCUCUCGUCUAAUAAGUGAACGGUUAGUCAAUGUGGGUCGUUCAACAUGUCUCUGUUUGCCACGUAGCAUCAUCAACACAAGAAUCGUACAAAUGCAAAUUGUCUCCAAAUAAGACAUCUCUAACAAUAAGAUCAAUAAAAGCUUCCUUCGAUCCAUAUCUAUCCAAACAAAAAAAAAAACAAAAAACAAAUUAAGGACAUUAUAUAUGUAAUAUUUACUGUUAUUAAGGGUGAUGGAAAUGAAGUGAUUAUGAUACGAAAUGAACUAGAUCAAAGUAACUAGCGAAGUCACAAUCCGAGGCAUCAAAUAUACGGGUGGUGUUGGAAAAAAAAAGCUAUCAUUAACCCGAGGCAACAAAUAUACAGGUGGCGUUGAAAAAAAAAAUUAUCAUUAACCCGAGGCAACAAAUAUACAGGUGGCGUUGAAAAAAAAAAAGUUAUCAUUAACCCGAAGCAUCAUAUUCAAAAUGUUCUACUCUUAUACAUCUAUAAACAUGUGUCUAAGAACACUAGUAUGAGGAUUGCUAUCAUUGCUAGGCAUUGCAUAUGAAGAGGGAAAUUAAAGGACACCUGUAAUGCAGUAGCCUUAGCCUUAGCCUUCUGUUUAUGCUCCUCUUCU
rnacentral:lncRNA from 1 species